GACGAACGCUGGCGGCGUGCUUAACACAUGCAAGUCGAACGGAAAGGCCCUGCUUUUGUGGGGUGCUCGAGUGGCGAACGGGUGAGUAACACGUGAGUAACCUGCCCUUGACUUUGGGAUAACUUCAGGAAACUGGGGCUAAUACCGGAUAGGAGCUCCUGCUGCAUGGUGGGGGUUGGAAAGUUUCGGCGGUUGGGGAUGGACUCGCGGCUUAUCAGCUUGUUGGUGGGGUAGUGGCUUACCAAGGCUUUGACGGGUAGCCGGCCUGAGAGGGUGACCGGCCAAAUUGGGACUGAGAUCCGGCCCAGAUCCUUACGGGAGGAAGAAGUGGGGAAUAUGGCACAAGGGGCGGAAGCCGGAUGCAGAAACGCGGGGUGCGGGAUGAGGGCCUUCGGGUGGUAACCCGCUUUGGCCUGUGCCGAGCGUGAGUGACGGUAAUGGGUAAAGAAGCACCGGCUAACUACGUG
rnacentral:rRNA from 1 species